rnacentral:lncRNA from 1 species
UACAAAAGAAAAACCUUAAAGGGCCAAUCAUUUGGUGGGGAUGAAUGAUUAGCUUUAUGUGUUAUGAUUCUUCAAACACCAAAUAAGGGGCUGGGCAUGGUGGCUCACACCUGUAAUCUUAACACUACACAAUAGAAGUUUAUUCCUUAUUCACACAAAAUUCAUUGCAGUUUUGGAAAACUAUGCAUCCAUUUGCUUAACAUUCCAGAUAGUUUCACUCUUAUCCAUAUCAACACUAGUAUGCAGGAUCACAGUGGCAAGCAAAGAACAGGAAGGUUGUACACCAGUAAUUAAAUGCUUCUACCCAGCAGGGACAUGCAUCACUUCUAUUCACAUUUCAUUGGCCAAACAAGUUACAUGUUCACAUCUAAUUCAAGAAAAAGAAUUACAAUCCUUCCGAGGGCAUAAAAGUUCAGGAAAAUAAGUCAUCAGCCAGUCUCUUAACUACACUAUAUGGCACCAUUCUGCUUCUGUCUGUGAUAGGACCAGGCAUUGUCCAACUUUCUCUGCAGCCAUUAGUUUCAACAGCCCUUACUGAGUGAGGUUCAGGAAAAAGCAUCGGGGUUUUAAAUGAACUAAUUAAUCAGCAACUGUUCCAUAACAUCCAGUCUGCACCCUGUUCCUUUCUUGCCUGCCAGCAGUGCUCCGUGGUCAGUGGCUGUCCUCAAGUGCCCCAGUCAGCUCGGCUGAGCCCAAAGCCUCCCAUCUCUGCAUUCAGGGGCUCUCUUCUUCCCCCAUCCAUCACCAGGGACCAGUGAUCUUGCCUGUCGAUGCCCGGCUCUCGCUUGAUGUCUCAGUUCCGGAACAGAGAUGCUCCAGCUACUACCUGGGAAGGCUCUGGCCCCAAAAAUAUUUAGUUAGCAGCCAUUCAGUUAAGUGGAAUUGACUUUUUAUCGGCUUUCCUCUGUACGGCUGCCACCAGCGAAGGCUGUUUCCUUCUUCCCUCUUCUCUGCCUGUCAGUUUCCUCCACAUUCCUAUCGGCAGCCUUUAGCUCUGAUCGAUACUAACCGCUGUGUAACAGCUCACGCACGACUGCUCUGGUUUGCAUCGAUCAGACCCUUCUUCCAACAGGUAGUCAGCUAUUUGAGGCAAUGACUUGAGAUAAACACCUACUUUUACUUCAGGCUAAUUCAUUUCAGGUGGAUUUCAAGGAGGCCCUGCACCCCGUCUCUUAGACAAGCUGAAAUUGGAGAGUCAAGAUCCACGCACUGCAUGCUUGAGAUCCUAGGAGACCUUUCUUCCUCUCCCGUUUUCUUUUUCUUUCCCUUGUAUUUUGUAAGUGCCACUUAUAAACAAGAUACCAGGACUCAGGACGUUGAAAAUGCCACUUCAGAAAAUGUGUCGGCCAUCCAUCCCUCUGUCCUUUUAAUGAGAUGCAUCCGGGACUGCAGGAAACCAAGACUGCUGCGGAGGCAGGAUUGUCGCUGGGCAACCAAGCAUCCUUCCAGCUGCCCCAGAAAGAAUCUCACAAUGUCCUGCAAUCCCUGGUCUUCUCACCACCUCAGGGGGCGGUCCUUGAAUCCACCCCCAUCCUUGUUCCAGGCUCACAAGUGAAAUUUACCAGGAGCUGAUAUUGCAAAAUAGAUUGCUAUUUCGCAACUG